AUUGAACGCUGGCGGCAUGCCUUACACAUGCAAGUCGAACGGCAGCACGGGAGAAAUCCUGGUUGCGAGUAGCGAACGGGUGAGUAAUACAUCGGAAAGUGCCCCGUAGUGGGGGAUAACCCGGCGAAAGGCGGACUAAUACCGCAUACGACCUACGGGUGAAAGCGGGGGAUCGCAAGAUCCCGCCCUCUCGGAGCGGCCGAUGUCGGAUUAGCUAGUUGGUGGGGUAAAGGCCUACCAAGGCGACGAUCUGUAGCUGGUCUGAGAGGACGACCAGCCACACUGGGACUGAGACACGGCCCAGACUCCUACGGGAGGCAGCAGUGGGGAAUUUUGGACAAUGGGCGCAAGCCUGAUCCAGCCAUGCCGCGUGCAGGAAGAAGGCCUUCGGGUUGUAAACCACUUUUGGCAGGGAAGAAACGCUCCGGGCUAAUACCACGGAGUAAUGACGUUACCUGAAGAAUAAGCACCGGCUAACUACGUG
rnacentral:rRNA from 1 species